GAUGGGCAGAGUGGAUGUCCUCGGAGGGGAGAGGCCCAUCUCUGUCUCUGUCUGGUAGUUGGGCUGAAAAAUGGAAUACGUGGGCCAGGAUCUGACCCUGAAUCUGCCCCUGUUGGAGGAGGAUUAUGCACAGGGGCCAUUCUUUAACUUCAGGACUUCAAACAAGGAGUAUCAGACAGGCUUGGUCAGCAGCUCCUGUUCUGGAAAAAGAUAUUGCAAAAUGUUGCAAGAAUCCUUGGACUAUUUGAAAUUCUAAUGAGGCAACCAAAAAUAAAUUCAUACAACAUGGAAGUGCAA